CCACGGAGACCAUGCAUCCCUCUCGGGAGGCAGCGCGACUGUAAACAACGCUGCCGCGUGCAAGUCAGGCCACUGGCAACACGAUCGAAUUGCGGGGACCUCCUAAAGCUCUACUUACUACCUGCCCUCGAAAGAGGGUAGUACAGUUAUAAUAGUAGAGAUACUACAAUGGACGAUCCGCAGCGAAGACCCUAAAGCGAGAGCUAUGGGUAACGUUCACAGACUAGGUGAUUGUGGGUAGUACCGAACG
rnacentral:misc_RNA from 1 species